rnacentral:lncRNA from 1 species
CCAAAAAUCCCCCGAGUAUCAAGUGUUUUUGAAUGAUCUUCCUGGGAAUGACUUCAACACCAUUUUCAGGUCCUUGUCUAUCUUCCAGAACAAACUGAGGGAGCAACUUGGACCCGGCAUUGGACCAUGUUUUUUCACUGGAGUACCUGGUUCUUUCUACGGAAGGCUUUUCAGGAAAAACAGCCUUCAUUUUGUACACUCUUCCUAUAGUCUGCAAUGGCUCUCUCAGGUUUAGUUUAUAUUUUAAUGAAGUACAGUAUAAUAUAAUAUAUCUGUAAUCAUUUUAGAAUGAAAAAUAGCUUAAUUUAUGAGUGGACUAUUUUGAUUUGAUCCAGGUUCCUCGAGGGCUGGAAAAUAAUAAAGGGAACAUUUACAUGGCUAGCACAAGUCCACCAAACGUGCUUAAGGCAUACUAUGAGCAAUUCCAACAGGAUUUUUCCUUGUUUUUGAAGUGUAGAUCAGAGGAACUGGUGGAUGGAGGGCGUAUGGUUUUGACAUUUUUAGGGAGAAGAAGUGAUGAUCCUUCAAGCAAAGAGUGUUGUUACAUUUGGGAGCUUUUGGCCAUGGCUCUCAAUGAUAUGGUCCUUGAGGUAUAGAAUGAAUAAUUCUACUCACCGUUGCUGGGAAUUGAACCGUACAUUUGCAGGAUAGGAUAUACAAUCUUUUAAAGAUAACUAUAUGAAUCAAUCAUAUUUAGGUUAUUCCAUCAGGGAUAGUUAUCAAUUGGACACUAGUUGAUAUUAUCUAUAUAUAUGAGCCACCCCACCUACCUAUGUAUCUUAUCAUUUUCCGGAAGUGGAAAUCUGAUAGUGUCUGGCCAAUAAACUAGUAAACUAGGGAGUUAAUUUCCUAAAGUAUAUUUUGCUGCAUAUAUAUAUAUAUAUAUAAAGUUGAUAAACUAGAUAUUAAUUAGAUAAUAAAGAAAACAUGAAAUAAAUGCAGGGAGUGAUAGAAGAAGAGAAACUGAACAGCUUCAACAUCCCACAAUACACACCAUCGCCAGCAGAGGUUAAAUAUGAGGUUGAGAAGGAAGGGUCGUUCAGCAUCGAUCGACUGGAAGUAACUGAAGUGAAUUGGAAUGCUUAUCAAAACGAAACUGACUUAUCUGAUGCAUUUAAAGAUGGUGGGUACAACGUCGCCA